rfam:Firmicutes bacterium CAG:124 genomic scaffold, scf206
CGUUAUGAGAGAGGCUGCGGCUGACAGGAGUAGGGCGCGUAUCCGGCGGGAACCGGGCGUCUGAAAGGGGAAGCCGCCGAAGAGCCGCCGCCGUUCCCGCAGCGCCGGUAUCUGGGACGCAGGGAGAAGAUCCUGCGGACUGUCACGGGGUUUGCCCCGUGGAGAGCUGUCAUGCGC